AAAUGACCAAUCAGAAUGCCUUGAUGUAAGUUGGUAAGAAUGAGUAUCUGCUCACUAUUUUCGUAUGGUAGCAUUAUCUGUGUGUAGACCGGGACUUACCAGUUUAGCUUUGCUGUAGUGUUCGGGGUAUUCGUGAGCUUAGUCUAAUAAAUAUAUACAUUAUUGUGCACGAAACAUUUGCAUUAACAUUACGAUUUUUAAAAAGUUACUCUUAUACAAUUCAGCAAUAUCUUUUCAAGAUUGAUCAAAACGAUCCAUCAGCCUAAGAAAAGUUUGUGAAACUUUUACUGCAAAAAUUUAUACAGACAUUACGCCAUACAUAUAUCAAGAUACUAAUUACUAUCAAGAAAAAUGAUUUUACCUAAUAAUAUCGAGGAAUGGGUGGAUUUCAUUCUGAUGCUAUUAGGACCAAGGAGCAUUAACAGUUUACGUACAAAAAAUAAGACAUCUCCAACGAAUACUUCAUCAACAAUUACUUCAAAUAAUACAAUAAAUUUAGAUCCGAAGAGUAAAAUUGAAUAUUGUAUAUAUAUAAUAUCGUUAUUAAUUUCUGCUUUGUUUGUUUUUUUAAUUUUGCUCGCUAUUAUUGGAUUUUACAUACUCUUAACGCUAAUUAUGUGGAAUUUUACCAAUUGGUGCUACAGACUAUUAGGGGCAGACGAACACUGGAUCCACUGCAUACGCUGGAUGAACUGGAUACACUGGAUACGCCUUACGAUUUACUAUUCUAAAAGUCGAUAAAUAAUGUCGUUUGAAUCAGUCAUAUGACAUACAUUGUAGAGCUCAUUAGAGACCUGUCUCUCUAAUGUACAAGCCCCCUUUUUUUUAAUGCAUUUUUCAUGUAUAAAUAUUCAUGGCUGUUCGAGCGUGGCUGAAUAAAGAUUAUUCUUAUAUCUUUAUCAAAUCAA